rnacentral:rRNA from 1 species
UACGGAGGAUCCAAGCGUUAUCCGGAUUCAUUGGGUUUAAAGGGUGCGUAGGCGGAAUGAUAAGUCAGUGGUGAAGCCUGCAGCUUAACUGCAGAACUGCCAUUGAUACUGUCAAUCUUGAGUACAUUUGAUGUGGGCGGAAUGUGUCAUGUAGCGGUGAAAUGCUUAGAUAUGACAACAGGAACACCCGAUUGCGAAAGGCAGCAUCACUAAA